UCGUGCGCGUAUAACAAGCUUCUUAAGUCGCAAAAUAAGUACCUACCUAAACCUCUCGCCAGGAAAGAUGCCCGUCAGAGAAAACUUGAUCCCGGUCUACAAUCUAUGUUUUUCUAAAGAUGUGAACGACUUCCGGGAGAGUAUCGUGUUAAUGUUGAACACGAGGUUGUAGAUCGACACAAGGUGUGCUGUGACCGGCAAUCUUUCCUGGCGAGAGUUAUAUAAGGUACCUAUAAGCAUGUUAGUGUGUAUAAUCAAUGUUAUAAGUGUAAAACUUCGUCACCACCAUCACAGAUUACCCUAAGUAGAUAUAGGGUAAUCUGUGCCACUAUAUACUCUGGAUAUUUGAGUUUAUUAUCUAUUUCGUUUUCUUCAUUCUUCCUGGUGCAGUUAAUGCCAUAUAAAUUACGAUAUAGGAGGGCGGACAGAGUCCACGCAUACCUAAACGGCGAGACCUCAAAUUCGGGCCCUUUGUACUACCUCCCUGACUUGAGUUGUCCGACACCUCAACGUCACUCAAGGCAUCUCACAAAUUUGAGAUGAACCUAACGAUGGUGGAAGAGGAGGCGGCUCUAAUCGUGGCCAAGUCCGGCCAGGAUACCCUCAACAUGGUACAUGUCAGUUGGACUACAACGGGACAUUCACAAAGUAUGUGGUGUGCCGUUUCAUCGUCUGUUUUGCAGUGCCCAGAAUGUAUAUGCCCACGAGUAACCUCCGGUUCUCGAUUGAUAGCACCGCCGUUCACAGAGGAACAAUGGGAAAAUCUGGACAAGAGAGGCAACAAUGAAAAAGGCUAAACACAUUUUACAUCACAUCUACAAUAUACAAAAAUUAACAAUCCGAGGAGCCGGACCUCCUCAAGUCCAGAAGGUAUCUGAAGGUUCUGAAUACUGUAAACUUAGACUAAAGUUGUAUUUCGAGAUGAAUGCUGCUAAGUAGGUACCCUAUCUUUAUCACUUCGCAUCUACAUCUGCUCGGGCGAAAAGUUAAUUGCACUCAAAAAAGGCAGAUUCGUACACAAUGAAUUGAAGUCGCUAAUCGAUCUAAAUGAGUUCCAAAGGUUCAAACAAAUCAAAUGAAAAUCAAUAAUUGAACAAUCUGAAACAAAUCAAAAUAGGAAUGACAUGUACAUUGACAGCAAAUAAAACCAAAUUCAAGAAACACUUUA